rnacentral:rRNA from 1 species
GGGGGGGGGCGGCUACCAUGCAGUCGAGCGGAACGAUGGAAGCUUGCUUCCAGGCGUCGAGCGGCGGACGGGUGAGUAAUGCAUAGGAAUCUGCCCGGUAGUGGGGGAUAACCUGGGGAAACCCAGGCUAAUACCGCAUACGUCCUACGGGAGAAAGCAGGGGAUCUUCGGACCUUGCGCUAUCGGAUGAGCCUAUGUCGGAUUAGCUAGUUGGUGAGGUAAUGGCUCACCAAGGCCGCGAUCCGUAGCUGGUCUGAGAGGAUGAUCAGCCACAUCGGGACUGAGACACGGCCCGAACUCCUACGGGAGGCAGCAGUGGGGAAUAUUGGACAAUGGGCGAAAGCCUGAUCCAGCCAUGCCGCGUGUGUGAAGAAGGCUUUCGGGUUGUAAAGCACUUUCAGUGGGGAAGAAAUCCUCGGGGCCAAUACCCUCGAGGGAGGACAUCACCCACAGAAGAAGCACCGGCUAACUCCGUGCCAGCAGCCGCGGUAAUACGGAGGGUGCGAGCGUUAAUCGGAAUUACUGGGCGUAAAGCGCGCGUAGGCGGCGUGAUAAGCCGGUUGUGAAAGCCCCGGGCUCAACCUGGGAACGGCAUCCGGAACUGUCAGGCUAGAGUGCAGGAGAGGAAGGUAGAAUUCCCGGUGUAGCGGUGAAAUGCGUAGAGAUCGGGAGGAAUACCAGUGGCGAAGGCGGCCUUCUGGACUGACACUGACGCUGAGGUGCGAAAGCGUGGGUAGCAAACAGGAUUAGAUACCCUGGUAGUCCACGCCGUAAACGAUGUCGACUAGCCGUUGGGGUCCUUGUGACCUUUGUGGCGCAGUUAACGCGAUAAGUCGACCGCCUGGGGAGUACGGCCGCAAGGUUAAAACUCAAAUGAAUUGACGGGGGCCCGCACAAGCGGUGGAGCAUGUGGUUUAAUUCGAUGCAACGCGAAGAACCUUACCUACUCUUGACAUCGUGCGAACUUUCCAGAGAUGGAUUGGUGCCUUCGGGAACGCACAGACAGGUGCUGCAUGGCCGUCGUCAGCUCGUGUUGUGAAAUGUUGGGUUAAGUCCCGUAACGAGCGCAACCCUUGUCCCUAUUUGCCAGCACGUAAUGGUGGGAACUCUAGGGAGACUGCCGGUGACAAACCGGAGGAAGGUGGGGACGACGUCAGGUCAUCAUGGCCCUUACGAGUAGGGCUACACACGUGCUACAAUGGCCGGUACAAAGGGUUGCGAAGCCGCGAGGUGGAGCUAAUCCCGAAAAGCCGGUCUCAGUCCGGAUCGGAGUCUGCAACUCGACUCCGUGAAGUCGGAAUCGCUAGUAAUCGUGAAUCAGAAUGUCACGGUGAAUACGUUCCCGGGCCUUGUACACACCGCCCGUCACACCAUGGGAGUGGACUGCACCAGAAGUGGUUAGCCUAACUUCGGAGGGCGAUCACCACGGUUGUAGGC